UAUCUUCAAGCUAUACCAUGCUUCUAGGAUUAUUACUCAAGCUCAAUUACAACUAUUGCGACAACCAAAUGAUUUAGCUACACAUGAUUAUAAGUUCACAAUUAGUGAAGCUGAAGCAAGAAUUUAACAAAACAAAAACCAACUUAUAUAUUAGAGUAUACAGUAAAGCAUAUUAUACAUAUAAAUUAUAACUGCAUUUGUGUUAGGAUCAAAGGCAUGUAUCACCCCAAAAUUUUCAACACCACGAUGAUAACUCUAAAUUCAACUGUGGCUAUGAAUUGUAAAUCACAAGUUCCGGUUCUACACAUAGAGUUCGGCGUUCUGCUGCAAUGGUGCAUAAAACACAACUUAGCCAACUAGUUGUNNNNNNNNNNNNNNACUCACGCCCCUUUUUGUGCCAACAUUUCUUAAUUUGAUUGCACAAAUGAAAGACAUAGCAUUGUGAUUAUCUGCAAAAACAAAGGCACUUAAUAAGCCAAUAUAUAGCAUCAACAGGAAACAAAAAGACAUAGCCAUAAACUUAAACAGACCACUGCUUACUUUUAGGGACAAAAAACUAAAUUUUAACUAAUUAACUAUUCUAUAACUCACCAGAUAAAUCUUAACCCUCCAAUAACUCCAAAAAAUAUGUUGAAAAUAAACAUUUGUACAUGCCAAAACUGAUGCUUCUUCAAUGGGUAAACUGCAGAAUGCACAUAUUUCAAGCAUCCGUCUUAUACACCCUCUCUUAAUAUAUCCCUUAAGCCCCAUAAAGAGUGCACCAAAAGAUCCUCCCAAUUGAGUGAUUUAAGAAUCUCACACAGAGUUUAUCUCUUUUAGGCCUAUAGAUACACAGACGUGUUCCAAAGUGAUAGCCUA
rnacentral:lncRNA from 1 species